rnacentral:lncRNA from 1 species
GACAGCUGUCAUUAAUUGUGAGAUGGCCUACAGUGUUGGUGAACUUCACACCUAUAGCGGAAAACACUUGUGUAAAGCAGGUUGAGUUUGAUGGAUCCUCUGCUGUUGAGAGAGUUGUUGGAGGCUGUAGAACAAUGAAGGAAUGAGCAAAGUGUAUGCUGCACUGGCUGUGAAAUAUCUCUGGUUUGCAGUGAUGCACAUAAAUUGAACUCAUCCCCAGUGACCAGAGCAUGUCACAUUACCAAGCCCACCUUCAGGAGCUUUUAGCCUUUGGAGGAAACACUACAUUCAGAGGAACUAAAUGGACAUUUUCUAGACAGAUACUAAUGUGUGACAAUAAAUGCAUAGAAUAAAGAAC